GCCCAGCCAGUAUAAAGGAUAUGACCCUCGGUUUGUAACCGAAUUGGUUCGGGUUCAAAUCCCGAGUAAGGCA